AACGAACGCUGGCGGCAGGCCUAACACAUGCAAGUCGAGCGGACCCUUCGGGGUUAGCGGCGGACGGGUGAGUAACGCGUGGGAACGUGCCCUUUGCUUCGGAAUAGCCCUGGGAAACUGGGAGUAAUACCGGAUACGCCCUUUUGGGGAAAGAUUUAUCGGCGAAGGAUCGGCCCGCGUUGGAUUAAGUAGUUGGUGGGGUAAUGGCCUACCAAGCCGACGAUCCAUAGCUGGUUUGAGAGGAUGAUCAGCCACACUGGGACUGAGACACGGCCCAGACUCCUACGGGAGGCAGCAGUGGGGAAUCUUAGACAAUGGGGGAAACCCUGAUCUAGCCAUGCCGCGUGAGCGAUGAAGGCCUUAGGGUUGUAAAGCUCUUUCACCGGGGAAGAUAAUGACGGUACCCGGAGAAGAAGCCCCGGCUAACUCCGUG
rnacentral:rRNA from 1 species